ensembl:misc_RNA Metazoa_SRP Metazoan signal recognition particle RNA
GCUGGGGAUAGUGGCGUGCCCCUGUGGUCCCAGCUACUCGGGAGGCUGAGGUGGGAGGACUGCCUGAGCCCAGGAGUUCAAGGCUGCAGUGAACCAUGAUCAUGCCACUGCACUUCAGCCUGGGCAACAGAGUCAGACUCCCACCUCAA